rnacentral:lncRNA from 10 species
UCCCUCAAGCACCUGAUCUUGUACCUACUUAUUCUAAAGAGGAAAAGGACUUUCUCCAGGCAGAGGGAGGACAGAUGCCAGCCACCGUGCCCAGCCUUAUUUUUCUUUUAAAGUCAGGGGUCUCAAACUCCUUUCCUAGGCUCAAGAGAUCCUCUGGCCUCAGCCUCCCGAGUAGCUGGGAUUACAGGUGUGCAUGUGCCCAGCUAGGAACUACAUUUUGACCAACACUGUCUCUUGCCUUCAGGUGACUCUUAAAUUUGAGAAACAUUGGAAUAGUGGAUUAAUUCGGAGUAGCGGUUUUUGUGAUCCACAGAUGAAGCACAGAGAAAAGGAUAGAGAUGGAGACACAAAAACAUUGAUCUCCCAAGCUGUAGAGACUGGGUCUCCUUUGGGAAUAUCUACAACUACCAACUGCACAACAAAGUAGUAAGUGCAGCUUCGAAUUUGUCUUGUGGUAGGCCACGAUCCUGUGCCCACAAGGACAGUGCACAGGUCAUCCGAGCACACGGCUGAGCCCGGUAGGCAAAGGAAGGAAGGUCCAGGUCACAGGGCAGCGAGGCCCAGCACAAUGAAGGAGAAUGGAAACACACCACACCUCAAUUAGAAUGGGAUCCAAUUCUUUUACAAAAAUUUUUUUCUGAUUACAAAAUUUAAGGGAAAAAGGGAAAGUUCUUCCUUCCUACAGACUGACAUGUAAUAAAUGGAGAUGGAACACACAAAAAUCACCAUUUUGGGCUGGGUGCAGUAGCUCACACUUGUAAUCCCAGCACUUUGGGAGGCUGAGGCAGGAAGACCCCUUAAGCCCACGAGUUCGAGACCAACCUGAGCAACAUAGGGGAGUUCCUCAUAUCCACAAAAAAAUUAAAAAUUAGCUGGGUGUGGUGGGAUACACCUGUAGUCCUGGCUACUCUGGAGGGUAAGGUGAAAGGAUCACUUGAGCCCAGGAAUUCAAGGUUACAGUGAGCUAUGAUUGCACCACUGCACUCCAGCUUGGGUGACAGAAUGAGACACUAUCUCUUAAAAAAAAAAAAAAUUUCUUUCAAACACUAGAGGAUGCCAGGCACAGUGGCUCAUGCCUGUAAUCCCAGCACUCUGGGAAGGGAAGCCACAGAAGGAGGAUCACUGUAUUCUAGGAGUUCGAGACCAGCGUACGCAACAUAGUAAGACCUGGUCUCUACAAAAAAAUUAAAAAUUAGUCAGGUGUGGUGGUGCACACCUGUAGCCCCAGCUACUCAGGAGGCUGAGGUAGCAGAUCACUUGAGCCCGGGGCGUUGAGGCUGUGGUGAAAUGUGAUCACACCACUGUAUUCCAGCCUGAGCAACAGAGUGAGACCGUGUCUCAAAAAAAACCCCACUGGACAAACGUAGGUGAUUUCUAUGAAGACAUUAUGAAAUAUUUCUCAAAAUAAUAAACCCAUAAUUAAUUUGUAUUGAGCUAAGCACUGUGCUAAGACCUUUAUAUGUUAUCUUCCCUCAACCCAAGAAAUAAAUACUGUACUGUUAUUGUCUCCAUUUUAUAGAUGUGGACACUGAGGUUCAAAGAGGUUAAAUAACUUGCACAAGAUUAAACAGCUGGUGACUUGUGGAUGUUUUGCUAGGAUCGUCAAAUAAAAAUUCUGUAACGAUAAAAAAAUUUAAAAAUUAAACAGCUGGUGAAUGGCAGAGCAGGAAUUCAAAUUCUGAAGGCCUAACUCAGAAGCCUAUUAACCAUUAUUAGAAAGAAACCAUCACUGAGUAUGUCUUACAGUGAAAAUAAAAGACCAGCUUAGGCAACACAGGAAAACCCCGUCUCUACUAAAUACAAAAAUUAGCCAGAGUGGUGGUGUGUACCUGUAGUCCCACCCACUCAGGAGGCUGAGACAUGAGUCUUGAACCCUGGAGGCCAUGGUUGCAGUGAGCUGAGAUGGCACCACUGCACUCCAAUCUGGGCAACAGAGUGUGUCUCAAAAAAACAACGCCGAGCUCAGUGGCUCACGCCUAUAAUCCCAGCACUUUGGGAGGCCAAGGUGGUUGGAUCACUUGAGAGGCUGAGGCAGGAGAAUCAAUUGAUCCUGGGAGGCAGAAGUUGCAGUGAGCUGAGAUCACACUACCGCACCCCAGCCUGGGGGACAGAGUGAGACUCCGUUUCAAAACAAAUAAACAAAAAAGUCCUUUCCCACUAAUAGUGACUAAUUCAUAUUACAACUCUGUGUUGAGGUUGUAGGUCAAGAGAUACUGUGUCACCCGAAAGGUGGUGAUGGUACUUCUAUAAACAAUUUGAGAAAUUUAUGCAGGAAAUAGUGGUACAGAAAUAACUUUGCAAAUACAGGUUGCUCAAUAAAAUUUUUCAUGUUCCAUGUAUGAAGAUAAUUGCAGUCACUUAGGAUAAAAAUAACACAAGGAAAGGAAUAAUUGAACAUUACUCAGUUACCCAAUAUCAGUGUUUAAUAUUGAGAUGAAAGAUAAACACUGAAGAGGCAGAGAACAAUAACUAUAACUAAACGUGGAAUUAACAAAAAGCAAGUUAUACAGUAAAGGGAAAGAAAUUUUCAGAGGGACAUAGCAAGUCUGCCUUGUUGAGAAAACUGGAUACAUCCUCAGAAGAUAACAUCUAAAGGGAAAUCACACAUGCACUGAGGAUCUCUUUCACGCUUUUGAUCUCAUUUCAGUAACAUAUCUUGAAAGAUCAUGGGGGAGAUCAUAAAAAGUUUUGGAAAUAACACUACUACUCCUAUUCUGAAUAUAAAUAUGUGGUAUUGUUUCUGUAACUGUUUAUUUUUAUUUUUACUUUUUAUUUUUUUGAGACGGAGUUUCGCUCUUAUCUCCCAGGCUGGAGUGCAAUGGCACAAUCUCGGCUCACUUCAACCUUGCCUCCUGGGUUCAAGCGAUUCUCCUGCUUCAGCCUCCUGAGUAGCUGGGAUAUCAGGCACCCACCACCAUGCCCAGAUACUUUUUGUAUUUUUAGUAGAGACAGGGUUUUACCGUGUUGGCCAGGCUAGUCUCAAACUCCUGACCUCAGGUGAUCCACUCGCCUUGGCCUCUCAAAGUGUUGGGAUUACAAGCGUGAGCCACUGCACCCAGCCCUUGUUUAUUUUUGAAUUGUAUUUUGCAAUAUUUAAGAUAAACAAAGUACCUGUAUAAAGAAUAAUACAAUGGCACAUCCACACCUCUUAGCUUAAGAAAUGUAGUACUACCACACUGUCUAGUUCUACAUAGCUAUCCCAGUUGCACCCUUCUCCCUGUCUCCCUCCCCCAAGAGGUAAUCAAUGUCUUAAAUGUGGUGUUUAUCAUUUCCUUCAUUUAUCUGUUCUUGGGAAUAAUGUUCAUCAUCAAAAAAUAAAUAUUCAUAUAAGGGAUUAAUGUUCUUUUUGUUUAAUUUUCAUAUAUUUAGAAAAAUAAGAAAAAAAUCAUAAUUGCACCAGUCUAGCAUAACCAUUUUUCCUUGUUGACAUAUUUAAAGUUGUAUCUGUGGAUUCCAUCAACUCUGUCAUUUCUGGGUCUGUUUCUGUUGAUUGAUUUUUUUUUCUCCUGCUUGUGUUACCUUCUGCUUUUUGGCAUGAUGGUGCAGUUCCAGUCCAAAGGCAGUCUGUUGGGAAAUCACUCUUACUCGGGGAAGCUGUUCUUUUCUUUCUAUUCAGGCCUUUAGCUGACUGGAUGAGGCUCACACACAUAAUGGAGGGCAAUCUGCUUACUCAGAGUUAAGUGAUUUAAAUGUUAAUUUCAUCCAAAAACACCAUCCCAGCUGACAUAUAAAACUAGUCAUCACACACUAGUGUACAGACUCCAUGGUGUGCAAGAAUCUUGUCUUAUUUGUGGCUAUAUCUCCAGCAUCUGUAACAGCACCUGGGGUGUGGUAGGUGCAUCAUAUUUAUUGUUCAUUGGAUGAAUCAAGUCUAUGUGAUUUUGGUGCCUAGUCUGAGCCCAGAAGGUCAAGGCUGCAGUAAGCCGUGAUCUCACCACUGCACUCCAGCCUAAGCAACAGAGCGAGACCCUGUCUCAAACAAACAAAAAAAUUAGGUAUGGUAGUGCACACCUGUGGUCCCAGCUACUCAGGCGGCUGAGGUGGGAGGAUCACGUGGGCCUGGGAGGUGGAGGCUGCAGUGAGCCGUGAUUGUACAACCACACUGCAGCCUGGGCAACACGAUUGGACCCUGUUAAAACAACAACAACCAACACACACACGUAGCCAUCUUAUUUUUUAGGGGGGAAAAAGAGACUACUAAAAGAGCAAUUUCAUAAGCCUAAAUGUAAAAGCUAAAAUACAAAGCUUUUAGAAGAAAAUAUAGAGGCCGGGCACGGUGGCUCAUGCCUGUUAUCUCAGCACUUUGGGACGCCAAGGUGGGCAGAUUGCUUAAGCUCAGGAGUUGAAGACCAGCCUGAACAAUAUGGUGAAACCCUGUGUCUAUUUAAAAAAAAAAAAAAAUAGGAGAAUCUCUCGACUUCAAGAAAAGCAAAGGUUUCUUAGGACACAGAAAGCAAUAAUCAUAAAAGAAAACUUAGAUAAAUUGUCAUCAAAAUUAAAAACUUCUCAUCAAAAAGUCAGUAACAGCUGGGUGCAAUGACACAUUCCUGUAGUGCCAGCUACUCAGGGGGCUGAGGCAGGAUUGCUUGAGCCUAGGAGUUUGAGACCAGCCUGGGAAACAGAGCAAUCAAGACUCUGUCUUUUUAAAAAAUAAUAAUAAUAAUAAAGGCCGUGUGCGGUGGCUCACGCCUGUAAUCCCAGCACUCGGGAGGCCGAGGCGGGCGGAUCACAAGGUUAGGAGCUCGAGACCAUCCUGGCUAACAUGGUGAAACCCCUGUCUCUACUAAAAAUACAAAAAAAAUUAGCCGGCAUGGUGGCAGGCGCCUGUAGUCCCAGCUACUCAGGAGGCUAAGGCAGGAGAAUGGCCUGAAUCUGGGAGGCGGAGCUUGCAGUGAGCCGAGAUCGUGCCACUGCACUCCAGCCUGGGCGACAGCCUCCGUCUCAAAAAAAAAAAAAAAAAAAAGCUAGGCACGGUGGCUCACACCUGUACUCCCAGCACUUUGGGAGGCUCAGGUGGGUGGAUCACCUGAGGUCAGGAUUUGAAACCUGCCUGACCAACAUGGUGAAACCUCGUAUCUACUAAAAAUACAAAAAAUUAGCCAGGCGUGGUGGCGGGCGCCUGUAAUCCCAGCUACACGGGAGGCUGAGGCAGGAGAAUCGCUUGAACCUGGGAGACAGGGGUUACAGUGAGCUGAGAUUGUGCUAUUGCACUCCAGCGUGGGCAACAAGAGUGAAACUCCAUCUCAAAAAAGGCUUUUUUGUUGUUGUUGCUGCUGUAUGAUUCAUGUAUAUAAUAUUCUUGAAAUGACAAAAUUAAAGAGAUGGAUUUUAACUCAAUUAUACCUCAAUUAAGAUGGAGGGGGAAAAAAGGAGACGGAGACCAGACGAGUGGUUUCAUGGGGGUUGAUGGUGGUGAGGGUAGAAAGUGAGGUGGUUUGGCUGUAGAAGGGUAGCAUGAGGAAUUCCUGUGAUGGAACUACUCUAUAUCUUGACUGUAGUGUUCAGAGAAAUUGACACAGGUGAUAAUAUUGCAUAGAACUAAAUCACACAUGGCCGGGUAUGGUGGCUCACGCCUGUAAUCCCAGCACUUUGGGAGGCCGAGGCGGGUGGAUCACGAUG